GGAUUCCCCGAGUAGCGGCGAGCGAAACGGGAAGAGCCCAGCGCUGAAUCCUACGGUCCUAGCGGGCCGUCGGGAAAUGUAGCGUUCGGGAGGAGAGUUAAAUUUAUUCGCGCGGUACCAGUCACGGCGGCCAGUCCAAGUCCAUCUUGAAGGGGGCCCCGCUUAUCCGUAGAGGGUGCCAGGCCCGUAGCGACGGUCGCCGGCCGCGACGGUCUCUCUCCCCAGAGUCGGGUUGCUUGAGAGUGCAGCCCUAAGUGGGUGGUAAACUCCAUCUAAGGCUAAAUACGACCACGAGACCGAUAGCGAACA
rnacentral:rRNA from 1 species